rnacentral:rRNA from 1 species
GGAUGAAUUGAAACAUCUAAGUAAUCCAAGGAAAAUAAAUCAAAUGAGAUUCCCGAAGUAGUGGCGAGCGAAACGGGAUUAGCCCAAAAAAAAAAAUAAAUUUAAUAAAAAUAAUUUUGAAUAAUUUACAAACUAAAGCAAUAGUCUUUUAUUAUUUAAUUUAUUUUUGAAUUAUGAGUAUGUUUAGACACGUGAAAUCUUUACAGAAUAAAGGGGGACCAUCCUCUAAGGCUAAAUACUAAUAGUUAACCG